rnacentral:rRNA from 1 species
UCAGGAUGAACGCUGGCGGCAUGCCUAAUACAUGCAAGUCGAACGGGGUGCUUUUCUUGCACCCAGUGGCGAAUGGGUGAGUAACACGUAUCUAAUCUACCCAUAUAGCGGGGGAUAACAGUUGGAAACGACUGCUAAUACCGCAUACGACAUUUUCUGGCAUCAGAGAAUGUUAAAAGGUCCGGUUGGACCACUAAUGGAUGAGGAUGCGGCCGUAUUAGUUAGUUGGUUGGGGUAAUGGCCUACCAAGACAAUGAUACGUAGCCGAACUGAGAGGUUGAUCGGCCACAUCGGGACUGAGACACGGCCCGAACUCCUACGGGAGGCAGCAGUAGGGAAUUUUCCACAAUGGGCGAAAGCCUGAUGGAGCAAUGCCGCGUGACUGAAGACGGUCUUCGGAUUGUAAAGGUCUGUUGUAAGGGAAGAAUAGUAAGUAUAGGAAAUGAUAUUUAUUUGACGGUACCUUACCAGAAAGCCACGGCU